GAAGUAAAAGUCGUAACAAGGUUUCCGUAG
rnacentral:ncRNA from 3 species